AGCAGCCGCGGUAAUUCCAGCUCCAAUAGCGUAUAUUAAAGUUGUUGCAGUUAAAAAGCUCGUAGUUGAAUUUCGGGAUUUAUCCGUCGGUCGGGCUUUUGGGUUUGUACUGGCGUGAUGGAUUCCUACCUUCUGAAUAACCGGCAUGUCAUUAAUUUGGUGCGCCGGGGAAGCAGGACUGUUACCUUGAAAAAAUUAGAGUGCUUAAAGCAGGCUUAUGCCUGAAUACAUUAGCAUGGAAUAAUGAAAUAGGACGGCAUGGUUCUAUUUUGUUGGUUUCUAGGAUCACCGUAAUGAUUAAUAGGGAUAGUUGGGGGCAUUAGUAUUCAAUUGUCAGAGGUGAAAUUCUUGGAUUUAUUGAAGACUAACUUCUGCGAAAGCAUUUGCCAAGGAUGUUUUCAUUAAUCAAGAACGAAAGUUAGGGGAUCGAAGACGAUCAGAUACCGUCGU
rnacentral:rRNA from 1 species